rnacentral:rRNA from 1 species
UACGAAGGGGGCUAGCGUUGCUCGGAAUCACUGGGCGUAAAGCGCACGUAGGCGGACUCUUAAGUCAGGGGUGAAAUCCUGGAGCUCAACUCCAGAACUGCCUUUGAUACUGGGAGUCUCGAGUUCGGGAGAGGUGAGUGGAACUGCGAGUGUAGAGGUGAAAUUCGUAGAUAUUGGGAAGAACACCGGUGGCGAAGGCGGCCUUCUGGACAGUGACUGACGCUGAGACGCGAAAGCGUGGGGGAGCAAA